GAUGAACGCUGGCGGCGUGCCUAAUACAUGCAAGUCGAGCGAACAGACGAGGAGCUUGCUCCUCUGCCGUUAGCGGCGGACGGGUGAGUAACACGUGGAUAACCUACCUAUAAGACUGGGAUAACUUCGGGAAACCGGAGCUAAUACCGGAUAAUAUAUUGAACCGCAUGGUUCAAUAGUGAAAGACGGUUUUGCUGUCACUUAUAGAUGGAUCCGCGCCGCAUUAGCUAGUUGGUAAGGUAACGGCUUACCAAGGCAACGAUGCGUAGCCGACCUGAGAGGGUGAUCGGCCACACUGGAACUGAGACACGGUCCAGACUCCUACGGGAGGCAGCAGUAGGGAAUCUUCCGCAAUGGGCGAAAGCCUGACGGAGCAACGCCGCGUGAGUGAUGAAGGUCUUCGGAUCGUAAAACUCUGUUAUUAGGGAAGAACAAAUGUGUAAGUAACUAUGCACGUCUUGACGGUACCUAAUCAGAAAGCCACGGCUAACUACGUG
rnacentral:rRNA from 1 species